UUAGAUAUCAUUGGGAAAGAAAAUAAAAAUAUCUAGCUUAAAAAAUCACUCACUUAAUUUAAAAGUAAUCUGAUAUGUAUCUUGCUUUGUAGGAUUACAUUCUUUUAAAUAAACAGUAAGAUGCCAUGCUUGAUGAAAUCCUCUUUCUUUCUUGGGAUAACUGUUUACAUUGUUAAUAUGAUUAGUUCCAAGUAGUGAUUUUGAGUGUGAUUGAAAUUUAAGAGGGUGUUAUUAUAAAUGGCCUGCAUGUAUAGCGUUCAAAAUAUGUCUAAAAGUUCCAAUGAGAUCUUGAUGAAGAAAAUCCACUCUUCUACUGAUCACCAAAAUUCAAUUUCAGGGGCUGAUAAAACUUCUUAUGUUAACACUUUAUCUGCUGCUACUACUACAGAAAAUGGGUCUGACAUUUCCAAUCCUGUUGAUUUGUCACUUAAACUGUAGAGAUGCAUAUAUCUAUUUAUAUUUAUCAACAAAGAUUUUCUGUUUCUUAAAUUAUUGAUUUCUCUAAUCAAUUGUUGAUAGCCAUCAAACUUUAAUUUUCCCUCAUGACAUAUAUGAUAUCCUAUUCCUAUAAUACAUGUACGAGAGAUCUUUUCAAAGUUCCUUCUAUAUAUAAUACACACAAAUUUUGCUUUUAGAUUAGAUUUUGCUUUUAGAUUAACUGCUGAUCUCUCGCAUAAAUUAUAGUUAGUACUGGUAUACUAAUCCUGAUCAUCUCUAGUUGUUAUUUAUAUGUUAUUAUCUGCAAGAUGGGACAUAGCUUAAUUUAUGUAGUACAAAUAUAAGUGGCAGAGGUUUUGGAUACCUUGAAGCCUUUUGUGGCUACUUUUAAUGAGAAAAUGAUUCUUUGUUUCUGUAUUGUCAUUAGUAUGAUAUAUAUAUUGUAUGUAUCUACCUUUUGUUUUUGCAUUUUUGGCUAUUCGACCAAAUAUACAAUUUUUUUACAUCACUACUUUUAUUCACAAUGCAGCUUUUCAAUUGUGGUAGUAUCUUUCGCAGAAAUUGCUUGAACGCUAGCUUGGAAUUGUUCAAGUUAGACGCUCCCUAUAGUAACGAGGAGAUCAAUGCCGUACGGGAUGAGUUUGCCGAAUUUGUGAAGCCAUUGAUUAUAGAUUAAGUACUUAAGGUUACUACACUUUUGAUAUAAUACAUGAGUAACAAGUUUUAUGAUUAUUGUUAUCUUUCGCAUAUAUUAUUAGUUUAUAUUUAGUUUACGAUAUACAUGGAAUUUAAGUUUUAGAAUCGAUUUUAUUAACAAUUUUGGUAUUGUGUGAUUAGUUAAUAGAAUCGAUUACUAAUUUAAUAUAAGUUUUAAAAAUGUUA